GACGAACGCUGGCGGCGUGCUUAACACAUGCAAGUCGAACGGAGCACCCUUGAAAGAGAUUUCGGUCAAUGGAUAGGAAUGCUUAGUGGCGGACGGGUGAGUAACGCGUGAGGAACCUGCCUUUCAGAGGGGGACAACAGCUGGAAACGGCUGCUAAUACCGCAUAACACAUAGGUGUCGCAUGGCAUUUAUGUCAAAGAUUUAUCGCUGAGAGAUGGCCUCGCGUCUGAUUAGCUAGUUGGUAGGGUAACGGCCUACCAAGGCGACGAUCAGUAGCCGGACUGAGAGGUUGGCCGGCCACAUUGGGACUGAGAUACGGCCCAGACUCCUACGGGAGGCAGCAGUGGGGAAUAUUGGGCAAUGGGCGCAAGCCUGACCCAGCAACGCCGCGUGAAGGAAGAAGGCUUUCGGGUUGUAAACUUCUUUUAAGAGGGAAGAGUAGAAGACGGUAC
rnacentral:rRNA from 1 species